GCCUACGGGGCGCAGCAGGCGCGAAAACUCUACAAUGCAGGCAACUGCGAUAGGGGAACAUCGAGUGAUCCUCAUAUUGGGGGUCUGUCCACCCGUCUAAAAAACGGGUGUUAGCAAGGGCCGGGCAAGACCGGUGCCAGCCGCCGCGGUAAUACCGGCGGCUCGAGUGGUGGCCGAUAUUAUUGAGUCUAAAGGGUCCGUAGCCGGCUUUGCAAGUCUCUCGGGAAAUCCAGCGGCUUAACCGUUGGUCGUCCGGGGGGUACUACAUUGCUUGGGACUGGGAGAGGUAGGAGGUACUCAGGGGGUAGGAGUGAAAUCCUGUAAUCCUUUGGGGACCACCGGUGGCGAAGGCGUCCUACCAGAACAGGUCCGACGGUGAGGGACGAAAGCUAGGGGCACGAACCGGAUUAGAUACCCCAGUAGUCC
rnacentral:rRNA from 1 species